UCAUCCCCUUUUUUGUGCUUUUUCUGUAGACUGAAAUUUCUUAAUUGCUUUUUUUUUUUGUUGUGAUUUUGAAUCCACAAUUUCUAUUGGUUCAUGAAGGAACCAACAGAUUGAUUCAAAUUGGGUCCAAAUCGGACCCUUUAUUUGUUUGUCAGCUUGAACCUCAACAGUUAGAUGUGGUUUGAGAGAAGCAAUUAUCAGAAAUGCUAGACUCCCACAUCGAUUUGUUACUAGGGUUUUGAGAAUUUGAGGUUCUAUAUAAAAAAACCCCAUCCUUCACAUUUUGGGAGAACUUUUUGAGCAUACUGAAAUAUCAAUAUACUCAGAAAUGAAAAAAAUAAUCAAAUUAACUAGGGUUUCUACUUUUGAGACCUUUACGUAUUUGAAUCUAGUAAAAUUUUAAAAGUUAUUUUAUUCUUUUUGGGUGUGGCUGAGCAAUUCGAGUGGAGAAGGAGUCUUCAAGUCCAUUCUUGACGAAGGCUGUGCAUUUGAAAGGUACACCCAGAUGAUGUAAAGUCAUUAUAGAGAAUGUUCCAGCAGAGUUGGCAAGCUCCAUUUGCUCCUGGAGUGCUGCCGAGUCCGAGUUUGUAUGUUAUGUUUUUUUCUGGAUUGAAGUUAGAGACUUUGCAGACAGAGUCGUGAGUAUAGUAUGUCGGUUGCGUAAGCGGCUUCAUCAGCCGAUAUGUCAUUCUGUAUUACGUGAUAAAUCCUAUAAAAUCACAGAUUAUGUUUGAUUUGGAAAGCAUCGAAAAAGAAUAUUUUGAAAGUUUAUUAUG